GCAUGAAGAGAAAAUUUGAGACGUAUUGAGGGGAUGUAGAGAAAUUCAAUCCCUUACUUUAUGUGGCGGUGGCACUUGAUCCCCAGUAUAAGUUAAGGUUGGUGAAAUUUUGCUAUACAAGAUCCAAAGGGAAGGCGGUGGGUGAGAAAAUGGAGAAACAAGUGAAGGAUGUUUUGAACAAGUUGUAUGAUUUUUAUGAAAAACAGGGUGAAGUUAGACAAAAUGUGUCUAGUUCAAGUUCAAUGCCGAGAGUAAUGGAGGAGAAUGAGGAUUGUGAUCGUCGCUUGAAUUUAGCUAGCGAAUUUGACACUUACUUGGAGGAGGAGUAUUCUAGUGUUUGUUCCUCGGAAGUAGACAAGUACUUGGGGGAUUUGUGCGAACAUAGGGACAAUCCAGAUUUUGAUAUCUUGGUAUGGUGGAAGAACAAUUCCAACAAAUAUCCAAUCUUGUCAAAAAUGGCGCGUGAUGUAUUAGCUAUGCCCAUGUCUACCGUUGCUUCCGAAUCGGCCUUUAGUACGGGUGGUCGCGUACUUGAUCAAUUUUGAAGUUCACUCUCACCGUCAAUGGUCGAGACUCUUGUAUGCACCCAAAAUUGGCUUUUAAGCACGGUUCCAAUCUCUCUUCGACAGUCUAUGGAUAAAGUUGAAGAUCUUGAACGAGAACUCUUACAAACUGAAUCAAUUGAUGAUGCAACGCAAGUUCCUAGGGAUUGAGUGAUGGGCCUUUGGACAUUGGACCUUGGUUUGGUCAGUUUACAUGGGAUUGGGGAGCACUUUGGACAUUCAACUACUGGACUAGUUUAUUUAAUUAUGGACUUGUGUGUUUGGUUGCUUUUAAUUAUUAUGGACUUGUA